GAUGAACGCUGGCGGCGUGCCUAACACAUGCAAGUCGAGCGAUUUACUUCGGUAAAGAGCGGCGGACGGGUGAGUAACGCGUGGGUAACCUGCCUCAUACACAUGGAUAACAUACCGAAAGGUAUGCUAAUACAGGAUAAUAUAAGAGAUUCACAUGGAUUUCUUAUCAAAGCUCCGGCGGUAUGAGAUGGACCCGCGUCUGAUUAGCUAGUUGGUAAGGUAAUGGCUUACCAAGGCGACGAUCAGUAGCCGACCUGAGAGGGUGAUCGGCCACAUUGGAACUGAGACACGGUCCAAACUCCUACGGGAGGCAGCAGUGGGGAAUAUUGCACAAUGGGCGAAAGCCUGAUGCAGCAACGCCGCGUGAGUGAUGAAGGCCUUCGGGUCGUAAAACUCUGUCCUCAAGGAAGAUAAUGACGGUACUUGAGGAGGAAGCCCCGGCUAACUACGUGCCAGCAGCCGCGGUAAUACGUAGGGGGCUAGCGUUAUCCGGAUUUACUGGGCGUAAAGGGUGCGUAGGUGGUUUUUAAGUCAGGAGUGAGAGGCUACGGCUCAACCGUAGUAAGCUCUUGAAACUGGAAAACUUGAGUGCAGGAGAGGAAAGUGGAAUUCCUAGUGUAGCGGUGAAAUGCGUAGAUAUUAGGAGGAACACCAGUAGCGAAGGCGGCUUUCUGGACUGUAACUGACACUGAGGCACGAAAGCGUGGGGAGCAAACAGGAUUAGAUACCCUGGUAGUCCACGCCGUAAACGAUGAGUACUAGGUGUCGGGGGUUACCCCCCUCGGUGCCGCAGCUAACGCAUUAAGUACUCCGCCUGGGGAGUACGCUCGCAAGAGUGA
rnacentral:rRNA from 1 species